GAUGAACGCUGGCGGCGUGCCUAAUACAUGCCAGUAGAACGCUGAAGGAAGGAGCUUGCUCUUUCCGGAUGAGUUGCGAACGGGUGAGUAACGCGUAGGUAACCUGCCUGGUAGCGGGGGAUAACUAUUGGAAACGAUAGCUAAUACCGCAUAACAGUAGAUGUUGCAUGAUAUCUACUUAAAAGGUGCAAUUGCACCACUACCAGAUGGACCUGCGUUGUAUUAGCUAGUUGGUGAGGUACCGGCGCACCAAGGCGACGAUACAGAGCCGCACUGAGAGGGUGGUCGGCCGCACUGGGACGGAGACACGGCCCAGACGCCUUCGGGAGGCAGCAGUAGGGAAUCGUCGGCAAUGGGCGGAAGUCUGACCGAGCAACGCCGCGGGAGGGAAGAAGGUUGUCGGAUCGGAAAGCUCGGUUGUAAGAGAAGAACGAGCGUGAGAGUGGAAAGUUCACACUGUGACGGUAACUGACCAGAAAGGGACGGCUAACUACGUG
rnacentral:rRNA from 1 species